rnacentral:rRNA from 1 species
CCUACGGGCGGCUGCAGUGGGGAAUAUUGGACAAUGGGCGAAAGCCUGAUCCAGCCAUGCCGCGUGUGUGAAGAAGGCCUUCGGGUUGUAAAGCACUUUCAGUGGGGAAGAAAGCCUUGGGGCUAAUACCCUCGAGGAAGGACAUCACCCACAGAAGAAGCACCGGCUAACUCCGUGCCAGCAGCCGCGGUAAUACGGAGGGUGCGAGCGUUAAUCGGAAUUACUGGGCGUAAAGCGCGCGUAGGCGGUCUGAUAAGCCGGUUGUGAAAGCCCCGGGCUCAACCUGGGAACGGCAUCCGGAACUGUCAGGCUAGAGUGCAGGAGAGGAAGGUAGAAUUCCCGGUGUAGCGGUGAAAUGCGUAGAGAUCGGGAGGAAUACCAGUGGCGAAGGCGGCCUUCUGGACUGACACUGACGCUGAGGUGCGAAAGCGUGGGUAGCAAACAGGAUUAGAUACCCUAGUCGUC